rnacentral:rRNA from 1 species
AUUGAACGCUGGCGGCAUGCCUUACACAUGCAAGUCGAACGGUAACGGGCCUUCGGGUGCCGACGAGUGGCGAACGGGUGAGUAAUAUAUCGGAACAUGCCCAGUAGUGGGGGAUAACGUAGCGAAAGUUACGCUAAUACCGCAUACGUCCUAAGGGAGAAAGGGGGGGAUCGCAAGACCUCUCGCUAUUGGAGUGGCCGAUAUCGGAUUAGCUAGUUGGUGAGGUAAAGGCUCACCAAGGCGACGAUCC